CCUACGGGCGGCAGCAGUGGGGAAUAUUGCACAAUGGGGGAAACCCUGAUGCAGCGACGCCGCGUGAGUGAAGAAGUAAUUCGUUAUGUAAAGCUCUAUCAGCAGGGAAGAAAAUGACGGUACCUGAGUAAGAAGCCCCGGCUAACUACGUGCCAGCAGCCGCGGUAAUACGUAGGGGGCAAGCGUUAUCCGGAUUUACUGGGUGUAAAGGGAGCGUAGACGGCAGUGCAAGUCUGGAGUGAAAGGCGGGGGCUCAACCCCCGGACUGCUCUGGAAACUGUACGGCUGGAGUGCAGGAGAGGUAAGUGGAAUGCCUAGUGGAGCGGUGAAAUGCGUAGAUAUUAGGAGGAACACCGGUGGCGAAGGCGGCCUGCUGGACGAUGACUGACGCUGAGGCUCGAAAGCGUGGGGAGCAAACAGGAUUAGAUACCCUGGUAGUC
rnacentral:rRNA from 1 species